rnacentral:tRNA from 1 species
UACGUUUUAGUGUAUGAUGCACGGGAAUUUUUGAUGUUUCUGGUAAUAGUUUGAUUCUAUUAGACGUAA